AUUGGUCCAACCUGAAAUAAGAUACUUGUUAUUUGGCCAUUGGUUUAGUUUUAUUGUAAGGAAUUCUAAUUGGUCAACCACAGGCUAGGGCUGGGUUAUAAACUACAUCCUGUCCUUUUGUUCUGUGGAGAAACACUGAGGCCAGGUAAGCAUAUACACCCACCUCCCUGCAUGAUUUGUCCCACUUUGAAUAAGAAUAAACAUAUUUUCCUCCCCCUGAUUUGUUUUGGGGUCUGUGUUAUUGAAGAAUAACAUCAACUGCUAACAUUUGGUGCCGUGACCUAAAAUGAAUUGGUCUAAACAACAAGAAAAACUCAACUGUGUUGAUCCAGAAGAAAGGCUGAGCGCAACCCACUUUGGGGAGUCAACUCUUAAUCUCCUGAUUGAUGGCAUAAGUGCUGGGGACCUAGGAGGUGCCCGUUUUUAUGGGUGGGGUGUGAUCGCCCCUCUCUGCUCCGUCCAAUGGGUUUUGCUACGCUUACUUCCUGCAGAAGAUUGGUGGGCAGAGCUGGGAGCAUACCUUUGUAGUUGACACCUAAUUUACUGACCGUCAUGUAUCAUUGUUGCGAGUGUUUUACCUUAUUUAUGGAAUAAAUUCAUUUUGUUAGUCCUUUA